rnacentral:rRNA from 1 species
AACGAACGCUGGCGGCAGGCCUCAAACAUGCAAGUCUAGGGGGUGUAGCAAUACAUCACCGGCGGACGGGUGCGUAACGCGUGGGAAUAUACCUAUCGAUUCGGAACAACUGAGGGAAACUUCAGCUAAUACCGAAUACGUCCUAACGGAGAAAGAUUUAUCGUCGAUAGAUUAGCCCGCGUUCGAUUAGCUAGUUGGUGGGGUAACGGCCCACCAAGGCGACGAUCGAUAGCUGUUCUGAGAGGAAGAUCAGCCACACUGGGACUGAGACACGGCCCAGACUCCUACGGGAGGCAGCAGUUGGGAAUCUUGGACAAUGGGGGAAACCCUGAUCCAGCCAUGCCGCGCGAGUGAUGAAGGCCUUCGGGUUGUAAAACUCUUUCGCGCACGACGAUAAUGACGGUAGUGCGAGAAGAAGCUCCGGCUAACUUCGUGCCAGCAGCCGCGGUAAU